UGCAGGAAGUCCGGCUCGGCUGCCAUCUGCGCUCUGAACAGACGAGGACGAAGUAUCUGCUGGAACCUGGAGCCUCGCUGGGAUGUUUCUCUGCAGGUCAAAGGUCACAGGCUGCUUGUUUGCCCAGAGUCCAGUCGUUACAGGUGGUUUGAGCUCGCUGGGUCUUGGCUGAAGGUACAGCAUUGACUCACACCUUGUUACAUAGAUGAAGCCUCUAGAUCGGAACUGGCUGCUGAUGUUCACUGGAAACGACAACAAGCCAACAUCACAGAGUGAAUGAGUGAAGCACAGAGUCUAAAUCUGGACUUUGGAGUGAAUCUAAAGUUAAACAUUAACAAAACUAAUCCUGUAAAACACUCAGACAGCAGCAGAGUUUUGUCCUCUCUGACCCAGAAUGGGACUCUGGUGUCGGCCUCCUUCUCGUGCUGCAGUCGUUUCUUACAUUUGCUGCCUGGCCUCGUCUCUCCUCUUCUUUUUUGUCUGUUUGGAACCAUACUUUAUUCAGUUAAGGUUAAAGUCGCAGCUAUUUUGCUGAGCAUCCUUCCCUCCUUCACAGUGUCCAUGGUAACUUUUGGCAGUGAGUCAGAAACAAACAACCUCAUAAUUCAGUGCUUACAGUCCAAAGACCAAAGGGCAGAGGAACUUGUGUCCAGUAGAUCAGAUGUUUUUGAACUGGUUCCUGCUGGUUGUCAAACAGUGAAGGCUGAUUCAGCUCAUAUGUGUUUUCUUGAGGCAACAGGCUGAAACGUUUCUAUCUAUCGCACUGACAUCAGACACCAGCAGAGAUGGAUGUUCUCUACAAACCAGAAUUCACCUGAAGCUGACCUGGACAAACUUUAGAGGCAGAACGAACAAAAUGUCCAUGGAACCACAGAAUGUAAAAGUAGAGUAAAAUGUUGUUUAACGCAGCUGCUGAAACAUUAACAACACAAUUAGUAAAGCAAAGAUGUGACUCUUCUCUUUAUUUUUCUUUGUUAGAAAAAUGAGUAGAAAAAUGAACAGAACAAACACAAGCUUAAAACAUCAACAGAACUGUUCAUGCAGAAAUUGAACCUCGGCUGAAGCUCAAAGUUGGUUUCAUACGUUACAUAAAACUAAUACAUCAAUUGGGUCUCAUCUAAACAAAGCACAUUGCCCACGACUGUGGUUCUGUAGCCUGGGAGUUCUGGUUCUGAGCAACAUUUAGGGUCUUGAACUGUUGAACACUGACACCUUCUGAAACACAAAACCUGAUCUGGUCCUUGUAAAGAGCCAGUCCAGUGAUCUGAGGUUCCGGACUCAGGUUUUAUUGCUCUUCUCAUCAGCUUGUUCUAUAAUCAACACCGAUAAAAAACAAAAUCAGAAGGAUUCAGUUGGCGUCAGGGUUAAUUGGGGUUAACCCAGCUGUUUCUGUCUUUUGUCAGAUGAUGAUGCCUUGUCCACUGUGCUAAUGAUAUCAGUGUUUCAUCGGGUGUCAGAUCUGGGAACAGCCAUUAAAGCUAUUCUGGCCUCUGAAGGUUUAUCCCUCUUGUCUCAGCAGCUGAUGGAAACCAGGACGAGGUCCUGGAGAUGCUGCUCAGGUUGUUUCUAAUGAAUCUACUUCAUACAGAGAAGCCACAGGACCCACAGGUCUGACUCUAGCGGGGUCUAUGGUAAACCACAGAGGAUUCUGAGCCCGUCUCUCCUCUCAGACCUCCCUGUCCUGCAUCACGGUGGCCCUUGUUACCACAAUGUCGAAGCAGGUCUCCAUCAUGACGCGUGACUUGCAGAGGUUGACGCAGGACUCCAGGUCUGCUGUGGUCUGAGCCAGAGCCUCUAGGUAUUCCUGGGACUCCCGGUCCAGGUCCUGGUCUACAUCGACUGGAGACAGAACAGGAACAGGAAGGUGUCAACAGGGAUCAAGGCCACGAUCAGAGAGGAAAUCCAGGAAUCAAACAUAGGUCACAGUCAGACUAAGUCAUGGAUGAUUCUCUUCUGUUGCCGUGGCGCUGGUGGUUUCGCUGCAUGUGUUUGACCCAUAUUUGUUUUCACAUCUGACACUGUUUGUGUUGGUGAUUUUUGAGUAACUGAACUGAUUUUCCUAACCUCAAAUUUCUAUUUAACCUUUCUAUUUCAUUUUUCUAUUUAAGGUGUCCAUCAUCCACUUACUUGUAACUGCCUGAUGAUCCCUUACUCUCUGACUCGCCCUCAGCCUCCUAUUGAAUGAAGGCAAUUACGUGCAAUUUCAUUAUUACUGCUACUACUUUACUUGCUAUGCGACAUACACGUCCAAAACACUUGAUUAGACACGGGAACUUUUAAAGAUUGGAAUAUUUCGUUAGAGAAGCUCCGGCGACUGCAGCGAGUGGGCGUGUCUAACUGACUGCUCGCGAGAAUUACCGGAGCGGAGUCAACGUCAGUGACAGCGGGAAAAGUAAAACCCGGAAUGGAGUAAAAAGGCGCCUUCUCCAAGGCCACUUCGGACUGUGAGGGCGAACGGGCUCUGUGUGCUGAGCCGAGCCGCUGGCCAUCGUGUACUCACACUCUCUGCUCCACUGGCUCGGGUGGAGCAUCAGCUGGUGCUUGGCCUCCUCCAGCUCCACCUGCAGCCUCUCGUGUUUGCGCUUCAGCUCUGUGAUGCGCUGCUGCCGCCUCUCCAGCAUCCGCAACCGGGUGUUAAAGUAGAGGAGUCCCUGGGGACCAAACAGACACGGGUCAGAGGAGGGCCGCUGGGUUUAGGGAGGAACCGCCGAGGAGCAACAGCUACAAUAACAACAGCUUUGGACUGCACUAGAUUUCAAUCCAAACAGGCGAAAUAAAACAAACGCAGUUCUCAGGAAGUGAAGCUGUUGUGAUUUAGGCCUCCGACCUGCUGGAGGAGCUUUGUUUUUGGGUCGUGUUCUUGGUUUGGUCAUGUGACUUCUUGUUUCAGUUCCUGUGUGCAAAUAGUGUUCACCUGUGUUUUUUGGUUUAGUAUUUACGUCCUAGUUUGUGUCCGGUUGUUUGUUGGACCAUUGCGUCCUGUUACCAUGACUACUGUGUGUCCUCUGUCAAGGUUUGUUUGUUCUGUGUCUCAUGUUUUGUUGGUUGCAUGUUUACUGUUCUGAUUAUGGUUGAUUUAUUCCCUUGCUCUGGACUGAUCUUUAGUUAUCUAGUUAUCUAUGUGUGUUAGUUUUGCUUUUACUGGUUAUUGACAAUCCUGCAUGUGCAGCGCAGUUUGUGUUUAUUUGUUCAUUUAUUAAACAGCUUAAUGUCAGUCCUGUCUCUGGGUUGUCGCAUUUGGGUCCUCCACACUUGUCUUGUUUGUUGGCCUUAGCAACAGUUUGCCUGCUCAUGUUGAGAGCACUUCGCGUUUAGUUUGCCCCGUUUCUGUAACAAAAGCUGAUAAAGACAAAGACCACAAAGAUGGACACAGUGAAGUCCCAAAGAGCAGAAACAAAGCAAGCAAAAAAAAAAAAAAAGAUGACCAUCGCCAUAC